UACAGAGGGGGCGAGCGUUGUUCGGAAUUACUGGGCGUAAAGGGCGCGUAGGCGGCCUUCUAAGUCGAACGUGAAAUCCCCGGGCUCAACCCGGGAACUGCGUCCGAUACUGGGAGGCUUGAAUCCGGGAGAGGGAUGUGGAAUUCCAGGUGUAGCGGUGAAAUGCGUAGAUAUCUGGAGGAACACCGGUGGCGAAGGCGGCAUCCUGGACCGGUAUUGACGCUGAGGCGCGAAAAGCCCAGGGGAGCAAAGCGGG
rnacentral:rRNA from 1 species